CCGCCGCCUGGCUGCGGUACGGCGAGCGGGCUCUGGCCCAGCUGCUGCGGGCCGCCGCCGCGCAGGCGUUCCGCCCGCUGGCGCUGGCC
rnacentral:tRNA from 2 species